AUUGAACGCUGGCGGAAUGCUUUACACAUGCAAGUCGAACGGCAGCACGGACUUCGGUCUGGUGGCGAGUGGCGAACGGGUGAGUAAUACAUCGGAACGUGCCCAGUCGUGGGGGAUAACGUAGCGAAAGCUACGCUAAUACCGCAUACGAUCUAAGGAUGAAAGCGGAGGAUCGCAAGACCUCGCGCGAUUGGAGCGGCCGAUAUCAGAUUAGGUAGUUGGUGAGGUAAAGGCUCACCAAGCCGACGAUCUGUAGCUGGUCUGAGAGGACGACCAGCCACACUGGGACUGAGACACGGCCCAGACUCCUACGGGAGGAAGCAGUGGGGAAUUUUGGACAAUGGACGCAAGUCUGAUCCAGCCAUUACGCGUGCAGGACGAAGGCCUUCGGGUUGUAAACUGCUUUUGUACAGAACGGAAAGGUCUCUAUUAAUACUAGGGGCUCAUGACGGUACUGUAAGAAUAAGCACCGGCUAACUACGUGCCAGCCGCCGCCGUAA
rnacentral:rRNA from 1 species